AUUGAACGCUGGCGGCAGGCCUAACACAUGCAAGUCGAACGGCAGCACAGAAGAGCUUGCUCUUUGGGUGGCGAGUGGCGGACGGGUGAGUAAUGUCUGGGAAACUGCCCGAUGGAGGGGGAUAACUACUGGAAACGGUAGCUAAUACCGCAUAACGUCUUCGGACCAAAGUGGGGGACCUUCGGGCCUCACACACUCGGGUGUGCCCAGAUGGGAUUAGCUAGUAGGUGGGGUAAUGGCUCACCUAGGCGACGAGCCCUAGCUGGUCUGAGAGGAUGACCAGCCACACUGGAACUGAGACACGGUCCAGACUCCUACGGGAGGCAGCAGUGGGGAAUAUUGCACAAUGGGCGCAAGCCUGAUGCAGCCAUGCCGCGUGUAUGAAGAAGGCCUUCGGGUUGUAAAGUACUUUCAGCGGGGAGGAAGGCGAUGUGGUUAAUAACCGCAUCGAUUGACGUUACCCGCAGAAGAAGCACCGGCUAACUCCGUGCCAGCAGCCGCAGUAA
rnacentral:rRNA from 1 species